GGAGGCGUGCCAGAGCGGCCGAAUGGGGCUCCCUGCUAAGGAGUUGCCUGUCUUGCGACGGGCCGGAGGUUCGAAUCCUCUCGCCUCCG
rnacentral:tRNA from 1 species